CGUUGGGACUUUCCCUCUCAGACAUUUAUUGUUCAUUCAUUCGUUCAUUUUGCUGUAACUCACAGUGGCCCCCAUCCUAAGGUGCACUGCUGGGAUUGGUCUAUGUGCUGAUGAUGUUCUCCUUGUCUUCAGAGUAGAGACGGAGUUUCACCGUGUUAGCCAGGAUGGUCUUGAUCUCCUGACCUCGUGAUCCGCCUCGUGAUCCUCCUGAUCCUCGAGGCCGCCCGCCUCGGCCUCCCAAAGUGCUGGGAUUACAGGCGGGAGCCACCGCGCCUGGCCGUUCCCUGGGUCUUUUGAAUGGUGUAAAUUGAAUGGUGGUAGAUUCUAGGACAGUUCAGUAGGAGCCCAUCCUCAAAAGGAAAAUAACAGAACUUCCUGCUAAUCUGGUAUUGAGGCU
rnacentral:lncRNA from 1 species